rnacentral:rRNA from 1 species
GACGGAGGAUGCAAGUGUUAUCCGGAAUCACUGGGCGUAAAGGGUCUGUAGGUGGUUUUCUAAGUCUGCUGUUAAAGCUUGAAGCUCAACUUCAAAAAUGCAUCGGAAACUAGAAGACUUGAGUAUGGUAGGGGUAGAGGGAAUUUCCAGUGAAGUGGUGAAAUGCGUAGAUAUUGGAAGGACCACCAAAGGCGAAGGCACUCUACUGGGCCACAACUGACACUGAGAGACGAAAGCUAGGGGAGCGAAUGGG